rnacentral:lncRNA from 1 species
AACUCUGAUUAAUCAAGCUAAUCCGAGGUGGUUCCGCCACACCCCUCUGCAACCCUUUCUGCCUCGCCUCGUCUCGCUCGCGCCCUCGCCGGCCGCGCCAAGGUGCCCCGUCGCCACCGUGGCAGAGUUUUGCCUCUGCUACCUCAGACCGCCUCGCGACCCGCACCCAUCAUCUCGCCAGAUCCCCGGCUGCAAGAACUGAUGCCUUCCGGUUUUCCCGCCUCUCCACAGUCGCGCCACCAACGAGCUCACUCCACGACGAUACCUCCCUCGCCAACCCCAACUCCGGCUACGACAGCUCCUUUUCUCGCCCCACCAGUGACGUGCUCCGGCAAUGCCGCUGUUUCGCGCUCGCCCACGCCGCCGCUCGCCCUGUCACUUCGCCUGUUGCAACCUCGCUUGUAGCGCCUUUCUC